rnacentral:rRNA from 1 species
UACGUAGGUGGCAAGCGUUGUCCGGAUUUACUGGGCGUAAAGGGAGCGUAGGCGGACUUUUAAGUGAGAUGUGAAAUACCCGGGCUCAACUUGGGUGCUGCAUUUCAAACUGGAAGUCUAGAGUGCAGGAGAGAAGAAUGGAAUUCCUAGUGUAGCGGUGAAAUGCGUAGAGAUUAGGAAGAACACCAGUGGCGAAGGCGAUUCUCUGGACUGUAACUGACGCUGAGGCUCGAAAGCGUGGGGAGCAAACAGGAUUAGAUACCCU